rnacentral:rRNA from 1 species
CAGCAGCCACGGUAAUACAGAGGGUGCAAGCGUUAAUCGGAUUUACUGGGCGUAAAGGGCGCGUAGGUGGUUAUGUAAGUGAGAUGUGAAAUCCCCGGGCUCAACCUGGGAACUGCAUCUUAUACUGCGUAGCUGGAGUGCAGUAGAGGGUAGUGGAAUUUCCGGUGUAGCGGUGAAAUGCGUAGAUAUCGGAAGGAGCACCAGUGGCGAGGGCGGCUACCUGGACUGACACUGACACUGAGGCGCGAAAGCGUGGGGAGCAAACAGGAUUAGAGACCCUGUAGUCCCUGUCUCUUAUACA